ensembl:lncRNA
GUAUGUUUAUUGUUUACUACUUCGGAAACUAAGACCACAGUGAAAAGGACAGCUUCCAAAAUAGCAAAGAAAGUUACUGCUACUAACAAAAUAACUUUAAAAUAAGUAUUGCUGAAUGGACUGCCUCAUUUCGACAGUUAUUCGUUCCUACCAUGGAUCACAGAGAACAGUUAAACUGUGUUAAAUUAGGCUUCAGUUAGAUAGAUCCUUGUCACUGUUAAUUGGCUUCCUAUAGAUGUCAUUAGGAUUGUUUGUAGAAGAAGACAAGACUGGGCUGUACAGUUUGAUUUGACACCAAGUUCUCCAGCAGAAAGGAGACACAUCUGACAGAAGGGCAGCCCAUGGAAAGACAAAACUGUCAAAGAAAGAAGGAAGCGAAAACAAUCCAACUGAGCAUUUCCUUGCAAUGCAUCCUUUCCCUGGGAAGACAAGAAACUGCAUUUCAGCUGCUGUAGAAAAAGCACAAGCCAGAUGUGGAGUUCAAUGCCAGUGCAUCGACUAACAGGACAAAAAAUGUGCACAGGAGGUGUCAAACCCCAGAAUGCAGCAGCACAGAGGAGCUGAAGGGGUUCUUUCUUCUCCUCCACUUGGGUGCUUCAAGCAGUGGAGCUAAUGCAGCUCCAUUGGCGGAGCAGAUGAGCAUGGCAUCCUUAAUGCCCUGUGGCCUAGCAGAUUAAUUGUGCAACCAUUGUCCUCCCACUUUUCCUGCAUAUUAAAUUGGAGCUAAUGAGUCAUUAUCUGUGGUCUGCUUGGAAGAAUGGGUUGUUUGUUCAGCACUUUGAAAUCGUAAAUCAAUAUAUACUGCAAACGUGAUGUGCUGCCUACAACUUCAUUCAACAGAGAGCAGCAUUGGACAGGAAAAAAUGAUGUAUCACCCUGGCUCUUAAUGCUGCCCUCUGCAGAAUCUGGUGAUGCGGGUGACUCCUGGGUGUCUGUCUGGAGAGCAAGUAUGAUGGAAGGGGGCUUAUUCACCAUCUCCUGUGGGCAAAGUGAGCAAACCUAAAUGAAGUAAGAGGAAGAUAUAAAUGGUGAUCACCUGAAUCAUUCUGACAUCCAUAGAGUUACUAUUCAUUUAGUAAGCCAAUGACACAAGUAUUUCCUUUGGUACUCCAAGGUUCUCUCCAGGCAUAUCAGGCAGUAUUUUCAGACAAGCACUUAAAAAAAAAAAAAAAAAAGGAAAAAAAAAAAAAGGAAAAAAGUCACAUACAUUCUGUGGCUACUUCUUAGGAUUGCCUUAAAUGUUGUCUUUAGAAUUCAAGGAAGUUUAGGAAAAAAAUCUAUUUCUCUUUCUGACAUAGCAUUUUCUGAGAUAGGUUGCAGCAGCUUUCAGGGCUCCCUGGAGUACAGCAUUUUGAGAGAGAUAGCAUUUCCAGGCUCUGUUCAGCGCCACACCACCCCCUGUGCUUCUCCUCCUUCACUCCAGGGCUCUUCCCAGGGAUGCUCUGAAAAUAGAGAAGAUUUACCACCUGUAGGACUGCAGCUGGUACUGAAAGACUGCUGGAAAAAAAAGAAAAAAAAAAAAAAAGGCAAAUAAGGUUCACUGUAUUCACAUUUUGCCAGUUCUCUUCAACAAUUGACAAGUCCUAACAAAUCUCUGCAUCAGUAUUUCUAAGAUAUAGUUGCAAGAAGCUGCGCUUAGGUUUCGGUUUUCAGGAUUAACUCUGCCUUUUUAUUUUCUGCUUAUGCUGUAAGCAUAACGCUCCAGGUUAAGGGCUUAAAACAGAAUUUACAGUGAAUCCAGAGCAUAUACUCAUUUGUGUGACUUUGUAAUUGUAAUUCUGAAUGCAAAAAUGUUACCCUUCCUUUUCCUGUGGUUUGCAAUGACAUGUGUGACAGUAAGCAGUGUGACCAAGACUGAAAUUCAUUAUAUGCAGUCCACCUCACCUUACCCAAAAUACGUGGAUGACUGUUAAAAUACCAUAAUUAUGCACAAAGGAGAAAGAAAGAGGGAGAGUGUGUUUUUUUUCUUUUUUUUCUUCUCCUUUUUUUCUUUUUUAAUUUAUAUCAGGC